rnacentral:lncRNA from 1 species
UUUACCAUUUCGAUUCAAGCCAAAUUUUCAAAUAUAAUCCGCAACUAGAAAUAUUACAUCUUAGUGGGAAUGUUUUUCAAUCAACACAAAUUUUGCGAAAAAUGUUAUUACCUCUACAACGAUUGCAAUUGUUAUACUUAGAUAGAUGUAAUUUGCAAACCAUACCAGCAAACCUGUUUUUUAAACUUACUUACUUAGAAAUUGUUUCCAUGAGUCACAACAAAAUUUCAACCUGGAAUGGACAUAAAGUGUUUGGAAACAAAACCACGAUUACAUCUCUUAUGUUGUCAGAUAAUACUAUAUCAGUUGUAUACGAAAUACUAUUUCCUAUGACCACAUUGAGAAAUUUGAGAACAUUGUCACUGGCAAGAAACUCGUUUGCAUGUACCUGUGAUAAUGUAUGGUUCCGUGAUUGGCUACAAAAUAAAAACUUCGUGUUUAAAGAUUUUCCAUCUAUCAAUGCAAAACACCAUUGAAUAAGGCUGGUCAAUUAAUAAAGGAUUCAUUACAAACAACUGUCGAAUGUAAUCGGAGAAACAAUGAAGUUUUUACCGCAGUUGUAACAUAUUUGUCUGUGUUUGGUAUUGUUUUUGUCAUAGUGUUAAGUAUAGUAUUUAGAUUAAGUUGGCAUAUAAGGUAUUGACUAUACCUCCUCUGUUUAAAAAAGAAAGGAUUUGCGCUGAUUUCAAAUGAAAAAACACAAAACUACGUUUAUGAAAGAUAUGUUAUUUAUUGUGAUGAGGAUAUCACAUGGAUUCAAAACAAGCUGUUAGACAAACUUGAAAACGAGGCAUCAUUGCCUUUGUGUAUAAGAGACCGUAACUUCGAAGCUGGAAAAGUAUUGGUUGAUAACAUUAUUGACAAAAUAUCUGAGAGUAGAAGAGUUAUCCUUGUUAUAUCACGUUAUAUGGUUCAAAGUUAUUGGUGUUUGUUUGAAUGUAGAGUGGCACAGGAAAAAUUUAUUAAUAGGCAAUCGGAGGCAUUAAUUAGUUCGGUGGUAGAACACGUUCCUAAAGAAGAAAUGACUUCGAGUUUGCGAGCAUUUUUCAGUUCUGCUGUUUGCAUGAAAUUUCCCAAAAAGGAGUAUGAUGAGGAAAC